rnacentral:lncRNA from 1 species
CCACAUGCGCAUGGGUGCAAAGCCCAAAUAAUUUUAAGCUAGGCUCGACUCAGUCUAGAAACCCAACCUGAUCAACAACCCGAUUUAGUUAGCGUUGACUGGUCCAUUUAACAUUGAUCGGUCAACAGUUAACCCAUUGACUUGACUCAUAAAACAUAAAUUUGAGGGUGCAAAGCCCAAAUAAUUUUAAGCUAGGCUCGACUCAGUCUAGAAACCCAAC